rfam:Gossypium hirsutum cultivar TM-1 chromosome 14, whole genome shotgun sequence
UGUUAAAAAUCAAUUCAUUAAUUUUUACUGUUAUAAGCUGGUAUGGCUAAAGAAUAAUCAACUGAUACGUGGUGUGUCAUAUAUACCUCAUGUUGACGUACAAGACCAGUUUCUAACAAUAGAAAUAGAUGAGAUUUUUAAUA